AAAAAACUACUAUGCUAAUGGAACUAGAACCAGAAAUUUUACAGUUAUGCAAACCAUAGACAUAAGUAAUUCAAGAAUGGCGCAUCAGCAAAUCAAUGCUUUAGGCAAGAUCAUAGAAUAAGUACAACAGUUAAUAUGUACAUAUCUCAUUGCUAAAACAAAGACUUAGCACAGAACUGCCUCCCUGCAAGAUGCAAAUAUCUAAUUAUGGAAAACA
rnacentral:misc_RNA from 1 species